AACGAACGCUGGCGGCGCGCUUAACACAUGCAAGUCGAACGAGAAGCUGUAGCAAUACAGUUGUACAGUGGCGAACGGGUGAGGAAUACAUGGGCAACCUACCCUCGAGCGGGGAAUAACCAGCCGAAAGGUUGGCUAAUACCGCGUACGCUUCCGGGUCUGCGGAUUCGGAAGGAAAGCCAUGCCGUGGGUAUGGCGCUCAAGGAUGGGCUCAUGUCCUAUCAGCUUGUUGGUGAGGUAACGGCUCACCAAGGCAACGACGGGUAGCUGGUCUGAGAGGACGAUCAGCCACACUGGAAAUGCGACACGGGCCAGACUCCUACGGGAGGCAGCAGUGAGGAAUAUUGCGCAAUGGGCGAAAGCCUGACGCAGCGACGCCGCGUGGGGGAUGAAGGUCUUCGGAUUGUAAACCCCUUUCGGGAGGGAAGAUGGGACGAGCAAUCGUUCGGACGGUACCUCCAGAAGCAGCCACGGCUAACUUCGUGCCAGCAGCCGCCGCGGUAA
rnacentral:rRNA from 1 species